rnacentral:rRNA from 1 species
CAGUAGCCGCGGUAAUACAGAGGGUGCUAGCGUUAAUCGGAUUUACUGGGCGUAAAGCGUGCGUAGGCGGCUUCUUAAGUCGGAUGUGAAAUCCCUGAGCUUAACUUAGGAAUUGCAUUCGAUACUGGGAAGCUAGAGUAUGGGAGAGGAUGGUAGAAUUCCAGGUGUAGCGGUGAAAUGCGUAGAGAUCUGGAGGAAUACCGAUGGCGAAGGCAGCCAUCUGGCCUAAUACUGACGCUGAGGUACGAAAGCAUGGGGAGCAAACAGGAUUAGAUACCCCUGUAGUCCCUGUCUCUUAUAC